rnacentral:rRNA from 1 species
MACUUUCAGCAACGGAUCUCUUGGCUCUCGCAUCGA